rnacentral:rRNA from 1 species
GCCUGCGCUUAAUUGCGCGGCCAGUUCUUGAUUCUCUGCUAUCAGUUUUCUAUUUCUCAUCCUAAACACAAUGGAGUUUUUUCUCUAUGAACUACUUCCCUGGAGAGCUCGUCUCUCCAGUGGACAUAAACACAAACAAUAUUUUGUAUUAUGAAAAACUAUUAUACUAUAAAAUUUAAUAUUCAAAACUUUCAACAACGGAUCUCUUGGUUCUCGCAUCGAUGAAGAACGCAGCGAAUUGCGAUAUGUAUUGUGAAUUGCAGAUUUUCGUGAAUCAUCAAAUCUUUGAACGCACAUUGCGCCCUCUGGUAUUCCAGGGGGCAUGCCUGUUUGAGCGUCAUUUCUCUCUCAAACCUUUGGGUUUGGUAGUGAGUGAUACUCGUCUCGGGUUAACUUGAAAGUGGCUAGCCGUUGCCAUCUGCGUGAGCAGGGCUGCGUGUCAAGUCUAUGGACUCGACUCUUGCACAUCUACGUCUUAGGUUUGCGCCAAUUCGUGGUAAGCUUGGGUCAAAGAGACUCAUAGGUGUUAUAAAGACUCGCUGGUGUUUGUCUCCUUGAGGCAUACGGCUUUAACCAAAACUCUCAAAGUUUGACCUCAAAUCAGGUAGGAGUACCCGCUGAACUUAAGCAUAUCAAUAA